rnacentral:ncRNA from 1 species
ACUAAUUCAAAGAAGGAUCUAAGUACGUUACAGACCAUCCAGACGAGCAUUUGCUCACAUAGAGAGGAAUUCCGCGGCUGCAAGAAUUCCAGGGUGAAGGGUAAUGGAAAGCUAAUCCAGAGAGCAGGGUAAAAUCCUGCCGGUUUGCACCGUUAAAGCAAUCUGAGAGAUGACAGAAUUAUUCUGUCAUAAUCAGGGUGGUACCGCGAGAACACUCUCGUCCCUGUU